UACGUAGGGAGCGAGCGUUAUCCGGAUUUAUUGGGCGUAAAGCGUGUGUAGGCGGUUUAUUAAGUAUAAGAUAAAAGCCUGGGGCUCAACUCCAGUUCGUCUUAUAAACUGAUAGACUUGAGUAUGGUAGAGGCAAAUGGAAUUUCUAGUGUAGCGGUAAAAUGCGUAGAUAUUAGAAGGAACAUCAGUGGCGAAGGCGAUUUGCUGGGCCAUUACUGACGCUGAGACACGAAAGCGUGGGGAGCAAAUAGG
rnacentral:rRNA from 1 species